rnacentral:rRNA from 1 species
UACGUAGGGUGCAAGCGUUAUCCGGAAUUAUUGGGCGUAAAGAGCUCGUAGGCGGUUUGUCACGUCUGCUGUGAAAACUGGAGGCUCAACCUCCAGCCUGCAGUGGGUACGGGCAGACUAGAGUGCGGUAGGGGAGAUUGGAAUUCCUGGUGUAGCGGUGGAAUGCGCAGAUAUCAGGAGGAACACCGAUGGCGAAGGCAGAUCUCUGGGCCGUAACUGACGCUGAGGAGCGAAAGCAUGGGGAGCGAACAGGAUUAGAUACCCUGGUAGUCCAUGCCGUAAACGUUGGGAACUAGAUGUAGGGACCAUUCCACGGUUUCUGUGUCGCAGCUAACGCAUUAAGUUCCCCGCCUGGGGAGUACGGCCGCAAGGCUAAA